AAAAAGCUGGAACAAUAGCCGACGAACUAUUUUUCGUCGGCUAAAGUCUGGACAAUAGCCGACGAUGGUCUUUAGAUUCGUCGGCUAAAGCCAUCACCGACUACCCUUUCCCGACGACACUAUAGCCGACGAGCCUUCGUCGGCUAAGGUCUUAGCCGACGAGCCUUCGUCGGCUAAGGUCUUAGCCGACGAAUUAGGAUAACAGGCCGACGAAAAUAUUUCGUCGGCUAAAGUACUUGUCCUGGUAGUGUUUGUACAUUGAUUCCAUUGGCAGUUGCAGUUUCAAGUCGAGACCACCACUCGUCAUUGGGAUACACCUCGAGAGAAUUAGUUACUUCUCUUCCGGAUAACAUUUCAAUUUUUUACAGAUAUUUUUUUAAUAUGUCAGUGAUAUAUCGAAAAUAUCAUAAAUGUCGGAGAUAUUUCCUAAAUAUCGGUGAUAUUUGAGGAUAUUUCCUAAAUAUCGGGGAAAUAUCAUAGAUACGGUGGAAGAUACGAUAUUGACCCCUAAAGAUAUAUCGGUCCUUCGAAAAGGGAGAUAUCGGAGGAUAUAUUAGAUAUAUCGCAGAGAUUUUAAUCCUUGCUUCUGUGUUUGUUUUCUUUGCUUUGUUAGUUUUGCUUUCAACUGUGGCACCAGUAGAAAACAGUGCAGUUAAUCAUAUUACUUCUGAAUUAAUGGAACCAGUCCGAGAAGAUGCGUACGGCUAAAGGUUGAAUCAUGUUGCGCGCUAAACGUACAUAUAGGUAACAGAGCUUCAUGGAAGGCUUUGUCAACAUCCACAACUAGCUACAUGGGGAUUUCUAUGAUAACUCAUAUAAUGCAAGUUAUGCAGAUGGUGACUGUUUCUGCUUAGUGCGAUGAUGGUGGUGUCUCCUCCACUCUAAGUAUGUAAUUAAACACCAGCUGAUCGCAGAGAUAUUGCUAUUGUCAAUUCCAAAUUACUAAUUCCUACACCAGAUUUCCUAAGUUGGGAAUUUCGUUUGGUCAGUGACUCAGUGCUCACCUGAAUAGAGAAGUAGUUCAUAUCUAAUGGAUCCGCAUUCUGCAUUCAGUUGUAGUAGAUGAACAAAUGAUCACUCUAAACCCUAAGUUAAGGUCUCUACUCUCUAGGGCUUAUAAUAUAUGCUGCAUUUUUUUUUUUUGCAUGUGUCUACUAUAUUGAUUAUAUAUAUUAAGGAAUUAUCUUUACUCUUGUGCCUUUUU
rnacentral:lncRNA from 1 species